rnacentral:rRNA from 1 species
UACAGAGGGGGCAAGCGUUGUUCGGAAUUACUGGGCGUAAAGGGCGCGUAGGCGGCCUGCUAAGUCGAACGUGAAAUCCCUGGGCUCAACCCAGGAACUGCGUCCGAUACUGGUUGGCUUGAAUCCGGGAGAGGGACGUGGAGUUCCAGGUGUAGCGGUGAAAUGCGCAGAUAUCAGGAGGAACACCGGUGGCGAAGGCGGGUCUCUGGGCCGAUACUGACGCUGAGGAGCGAAAGCGUGGGGAGCGAACAGG